GACGAACGCUGGCGGCGUGCUUAACACAUGCAAGUCGAACGGAAAGGCCCUGCUUUUGUGGGGUGCUCGAGUGGCGAACGGGUGAGUAACACGUGAGUAACCUGCCCUUGACUUUGGGAUAACUUCAGGAAACUGGGGCAAAUACCGGAUAGGCGCUCCUGCUGCAUGGUGGGGGUUGGAAAGUUUCGGCGGCUGGGGGUGGACUCGCGGCUUGACUGCUUGUUGGGGGGGGAGUGGCUGACCAAGGCUUGGACGGGUAGCCGGACUGGCAGGGUUACCGGCGACAUUGGGACUGGGAUCCGGCCCAGACCCCUAGGGGGGGCAGCAGUGGGGAGUAUGGCACAAUGGGGGGGAGCCUGAGGGAGCAAGGCGGCGUGCUGUAGGACGGCAUUCGGUGUGGAAACAGCUUUCGCCUGUGACGAAGCGUGAGUGACGGUAAUGGGUAAAGAAGCACCGGCUAACUACGUG
rnacentral:rRNA from 1 species